rnacentral:rRNA from 1 species
UACGUAGGGUGCAAGCGUUGUCCGGAAUUAUUGGGCGUAAAGAGCUCGUAGGCGGUUUGUCGCGUCGGCUGUGAAAUCUCGGGGCUCAACCCCGAGCCUGCAGUCGAUACGGGCAGACUAGAGUGCGGUAGGGGAGACUGGAAUUCCUGGUGUAGCGGUGAAAUGCGCAGAUAUCAGGAGGAACACCGGUGGCGAAGGCGGGUCUCUGGGCCGUAACUGACGCUGAGGAGCGAAAGCGUGGGGAGCGAACAGG